UGGGGAAUAUUGGACAAUGGGCGCAAGCCUGAUCCAGCCAUGCCGCGUGAGUGAUGAAGGUCUUCGGAUUGUAAAGCUCUUUCGGCAGGGACGAUAAUGACGGUACCCGCAGAAUAAGCCCCGGCUAACUUCGUG
rnacentral:rRNA from 1 species